rnacentral:misc_RNA from 1 species
GAUGAAGAACGUAGCGAAAUGCGAUAAGUAAUGCGAAUUGCAGAAUUCAGUGAAUCAUCGAAUCUUUGAACGCACAUUGCGCCCGCCAGUAUUCUGGCGGGCAUGCCUGUCUGAGCGUCGUUUCGACCCUCGCGCCCGGCUUCUGUCGGGGGCGGUGUUGGGGAUCGGCCACACCCUUCAGUGGGAGGCCGGCCCCUAAAUUCAGUGGCGACCACGCUGUAGCCUCCCCUGCGUAGUACUAAAACCACCUCGCAGGCGGAAAGCGGUGCGGCCCGCCGUAAAACCCCCCAACUUUUACAAGGUCGACCUCAGAUCAGGUAGGAAUACCCGCUGAACUUAAGCAUAUCAAUAAGCGGAGGA